UUCCGGUUGAUCCUGCCGGACCCGACUGCUAUCGGAUUGGGACUAAGCCAUGCGAGUCAACUCGAAAGAGUGGCGCACGGCUCAGUAACACGUAGUCAAUCUACCCUGAGGACGGGGAUAACCCCGGGAAACUGGGGAUAAACCCCGAUAGGUCAUAGCUCCUGGAAUGGGCUAUGGCUCAAAUCUAUAUGGCCUUAGGAUGGGACUGCGUCCGAUCAGGUUGUUGGUGGGGUAAUGGCCCACCAAGCCUAUAACCGGUACGGGCUCUGAGAGGAGGAGCCCGGAGAUGGGCACUGAGACAAGGGCCCAGGUCCUAUGGGGCGCAGCAGGCGCGAAACCUCCGCAAUGGGCGAAAGCCCGACGGGGUCAGUCCAAGUGGCUCCUGCUAAAGGAGUCUUUUGCCAGCUGUAAACAGGCUGGUGAAUAAGGGGUGGGCAAGCCUGGUGUCAGCCGCCGCGGUAAUACCAGCACCCCGAGUGGUCGGGAUGAUUAUUGGGCCUAAAGCAUCCGUAGCCGGUGUAGUAAGUCCUCCGUUAAAUCCACCUGCUCAACAGGUGGGCUGCGGAGGAUACUGCUACACUAGGAAGCGGGAGAGGCGAGGGGUAUUUCCACGGGUAGGGGUAAAAUCCUCUGAUCCGUGGAGGACCACCAGUGGCGAAGCGUCUCGCCUGAACGCGCUCGACGGUGAGGGAUGAAAGCUGGGGGAGCAAACCGGAUUUAGAUACCCGGGUAGUCCCAGCCGUAACGAUGUAGCUCGGUGAUUGACUUGCUCCGAGCCA
rnacentral:rRNA from 1 species